AUUGAACGCUGGCGGCAGGCUUAACACAUGCAAGUCGAGCGGAGAUGAGGUGCUUGCACCUUAUCUUAGCGGCGGACGGGUGAGUAAUGCUUAGGAAUCUGCCUAUUAGUGGGGGACAACAUUCCGAAAGGAAUGCUAAUACCGCAUACGUCCUACGAGAGAAAGCAGGGGAUCUUCGGACCUUGCGCUAAUAGAUGAGCCUAAGUCGGAUUAGCUAGUUGGUGGGGUAAAGGCCUACCAAGACGACGAUCUGUAGCGGGUCUGAGAGGAUGAUCCGCCACACUGGGACUGAGACACGGCCCAGACUCCUAAGGGAGGCAGCAGUGGGGAAUAUUGGACAAUGGGGGGAACCCUGAUCCAGCCAUGCCGCGUGUGUGAAGAAGGCCUUAUGGUUGUAAAGCACUUUAAGCGAGGAGGAGGCUACUGAGACUAAUACUCUUGGAUAGUGGACGUUACUCGCAGAAUAAGCACCGGCUAACUCUGUGCCAGCCGCCGCCGUAAGAC
rnacentral:rRNA from 1 species